rnacentral:rRNA from 1 species
UUGGAGGGCAAGUCUGGUGCCAGCAGCCGCGGUAAUUCCAGCUCCAAUAGCGUAUAUUAAAGUUGUCGCAGUUAAAAAGCUCGUAGUUGAAUUUCGGGGUUAGUAGGUUGGUCAUGCCACUGGUAUGUACUGGUCUCACUGAUUCCUCCUUCCUGAUGAGACGUAAUGCCAUUAAUUUGGUGUUGCGAGGAAUCUGGACUGUUACUUUGAAAAAAUUAGAGUGUUUAAAGCAGGCUAACGCUUGAAUACAUUAGCAUGGAAUAAUGAAAUAGGACGUUCGAUCUUAUUUUGUUGGUUUCUAGGAUUGACGUAAUGAUUAAUAGGGAUAGUUGGGGGCAUUAGUAUUCAAUUGUCAGAGGUGAAAUUCUUGGAUUUAUUGAAGACUAACUACUGCGAAAGCAUUUGCCAAGGAUGUUUUCAUUAAUCAAGAACGAAAGUUAGGGGAUCGAAGACGAUCAGAUACCGUCGUAGUCUUAACCAUAAACUAUGCCGACUAGGGAUCGGAUGAUGUUAAUUUUUUAAUGACUCAUUCGGCGCCUUACGGGAAACCAAAGUGUUUGGGUUC